rnacentral:rRNA from 1 species
GACAGAGGGUGCAAACGUUGUUCGGAAUUACUGGGCGUAAAGCGCGUGUAGGCGGCUCUGCAAGUCGGGUGUGAAAUCCCAUGGCUCAACCAUGGAAGUGCACUCGAAACUGCAGGGCUAGAGUCCUGGAGAGGAAGGUGGAAUGCUUGGUGUAGAGGUGAAAUUCGUAGAUAUCAAGCGGAACACCGGUGGCGAAGGCGGCCUUCUGGACAGUGACUGACGCUGAGACGCGAAAGCGUGGGUAGCAAACAGG